rnacentral:rRNA from 1 species
CAGUAGCCGCGGUAAUACGUAGGGUGCAAGCGUUAAUCGGAAUUACUGGGCGUAAAGCGUGCGUAGGCGGCUUCUUAAGUCGGAUGUGAAAUCCCUGAGCUUAACUUAGGAAUUGCAUUCGAUACUGGGAAGCUAGAGUAUGGGAGAGGAUGGUAGAAUUCCAGGUGUAGCGGUGAAAUGCGUAGAGAUCUGGAGGAAUACCGAUGGCGAAGGCAGCCAUCUGGCCUAAUACUGACGCUGAGGUACGAAAGCAUGGGGAGCAAACAGGAUUAGAUACCCCCGUAGUCCCUGUCUCUUAUAC